UAAGUUGUUGUAAAACCAAAUCACGCUGCCCUGUCACGGCAGAGGUCGCGAGUUCGAGUCUCGUCGUCCCCGCCA
rnacentral:tRNA from 1 species